UACGGAGGGGGCUAGCGUUGUUCGGAAUUACUGGGCGUAAAGCGCGCGUAGGCGGACCUGCAAGUCGGGGGUGAAAGCCCGAGGCUCAACCUCGGAACUGCCUUCGAUACUGCGGGUCUCGAGUCCGGGAGAGGGAUGCGGAAUUCCAGGUGUAGCGGUGAAAUGCGUAGAUAUCUGGAGGAACACCGGUGGCGAAGGCGGCAUCCUGGACCAAUUCUGACACUGAGGAGCGAAAGCCAGGGGAGCAAACGGG
rnacentral:rRNA from 1 species